UUCCACAAGAUAGUUUGGCUGUUACAAAAUGACAGACCAAUCUUCCUAUGCGGCCCCGGCAACGUAGUUCACAUUAUAACUCAGCAUCAUCAUUGAUUGAUAAACAACAAACACCACAUAAUCAUCGGUUGUUUAGUACAAUUAACAACAAAUUAUAUUAUUUUCAUACAUGAAAUUGUGUCAAAGGCCCUGUUCAGGAAACACAUUGUAUCCAAGUCCAGAAGAUUACUCUGGUUCCAGUCAUCAAGUUCUAAAUUUUAAAA